UACGUAGGGUGCAAGCGUUGUCCGGAAUUACUGGGCGUAAAGAGUUCGUAGGCGGUUUGUCGCGUCGUUUGUGAAAACCAGCAGCUCAACUGCUGGCUUGCAGGCGAUACGGGCAGACUUGAGUACUGCAGGGGAGACUGGAAUUCCUGGUGUAGCGGUGAAAUGUGUAGAGAUCGGGAGGAACACCGGUGGCGAAGGCGGGUCUCUGGGCAUCUCCUGACGCUGAGGCGCGAAAGCGUGGGGAGCAAACGGG
rnacentral:rRNA from 1 species